UUGAGUACUUUGCUACUAUCAAAUAUUUAUGAAUCUACAAGCUGGGCAUGAUAAAUCAAUGAAAAAGAGGAGGUUCGGAAGAAAAAUCUCUUACGCCGGAAAACCAUUUCCGUGUUUUCAUCUUUGGUCUACCGAGCGCGUUUUCCGUCUCCUCUCUCACUUGGGAAGAAAAAGACCGCACAAAACCAACUUCAAGCCUAUUAAUAAUCCUAGUCCUAUUCCUAUUCCUAUUCCGUCAAGGAAACCCAAAUGUCUUUCUAUAUAUUAAUCUCACGCCUCACAUCACAAACUUUGCCCUUCAUUGCAGGUUUGCAGCAAACUGUUGGAGAGCAGAGUGAGUUUUCAAGAUACAAAUACUUGCAAUAAUCACAGAAUCACAGCAAUGGUGUUCAUCGCAUCCCCCAACCACAAAACCCUAACCCUAAACCUAAACCCAAACGCCACCACCAUCCAAGCUCUGAAAUUCCAAAUUGAACAAAUUUCCAACGUACCCAUCUCUCACCAGCGCCUAUUCAUCUCCCAAAGCCUCCAAUUGUUGACCCAAAGAGUCUCCACCCUCCUCGCCGACCUUGGCAUCAAACCCUACUCUACCCUAACCCUCCACGUCCCCUUCUUCGGUGGCACCCUACCCCACAAAAAUCCCAAACCCCGCCUUGAUUUCAUCAAUUCCAAGCCUCCUGAGGGUUAUGUCGCUGGGCUUGGCCGUGGUGCUUCUGGGUUCACCACAAGGUCCGACAUUGGGCCUGCCCGAUCAGCCCCCGAGCUGCCCGAUAGGGCAAUUGGGCAGCUUGAGGAAGCAGGGGAGGAAAAAGGGUACGAUGAGAAUCAGCAAUUUGAUGAUUUUGAAGGCAAUGAUGUUGGGUUGUUGGCACCAGAUGCCAAACUGGAUGAAGAUGAUGAGAAGGCUGAUGCAAUGUGGAAAGCAGUUGAUGAGAGAAUGGACUCCAGGAGAAAGGACAGGAGAGAGGCUCUGUUGAGAGAAGAGAUUGAAAAGUACAGAGCUUCCAAUCCCAAGAUUACAGAGCAGUUUGCAAGUUUGAAGAGGAAUUUGCACACAUUGUCUGCCCAAGAAUGGGAGAGUAUACCUGAAAUUGGGGAUUAUUCAAUGAGAAACAAGAAGAGGAGGUUUGAGAGCUUUGUGCCGAUGCCGGAUACCCUUUUGGAGAAGGCAACGCAGGAGAAAGAGCUUGUUACUGCAAUAGAUCCCAUUAGUACAGAUUUGACUGUCGUGAGGAAGGGCAGAGAUAUAGUGUUGUCUUUGAAAUUGGAUAGGAUUUCGGAUUCUGUCUCGGGGUUGACAGUUGUUGACCCAAAAGGGUGUCUUACUGAUCUUAAAAGUAUGAGCAUCACAAGUGAUACAGACGUUCAUGAUAAAAACAAGGCUAGAUUGUUGAUGACGAGUUUAAUGAAGUUAAAUCCUAAGAACCCACGUGUGUGGAUUUCGGCAGCAAGGUUUGAGGAAGUGGCAGGAAAGAUGAAGCCAGCCAGGAAAUUGAUUCAGGAAGGGUGUGAUGAGUGUCCUAAGAGUGAGGAUGUGUGGUUGGAGGCUUGUAGGCUUGCUACCCCAAAAGAUGCUAAGGCUGUUAUUGCUAAGGGAGUUAAAUUUAUUCCCAAUUCAGUCAACUUGUGGAUGGAGGCUGCGAAAUUGGAGCGUGAUGAUUUGAACAAGAGCAGGGUCUUGAGGAAAGGGUUGGAACACAUUCCUGACUUGUUAGGCUGUGGAAGGCGGUCGUGGAUCUAGCGCAUGAGGAGGAUGCUAGAAGUUUGCUCAAAAGGGCUGUGGAGUGUUGUCCAUUGCACAUUGAAUUCUGGCUUGCACUCACAAGAUUGGAAACUUAUGAGAACGCCAAGAAGGUCCUCAAUAAGGCAAGGGAGAAUCUAUCGGAGGAGCCUGCAAUUUGGAUCACCGCCGCAAAGUUGGAAGAAGCUAAUGGGAAUAUGUCCAUGGUUGGGAGGAUUAUUGAAAGAGGUAUAAGGGCUUUGCAAAAAACAGCGGUUAUUAUCGAUAGAGAAGCAUGGAUGAAAGAGGCUGAAGCUGCUGAACGUGCAGGGUCUAUAAUGACUUGCCAAGCUAUCAUUCGGAGCGCAAUUGGGAUUGGUGUGGAGGAGGAAGAUAGGAAGAGGACAUGGGUUUCUGAUGCAGAGGACUUCAUGAAAAAAGGUUCCAUUGAAACAGCCCGAGCAAUUUAUGCGCAUGCACUUACUGUCUUUUUAACCAAGAAGAGCAUAUGGAGGAAAGCGGCUCAGCUUGAAAAGAGCCAUGGUACUAGGGAGAACUGGCUUGCAGGGGACGUGCCUGCUGCCCGUGCAAUCCUCCAAGAAGCUUAUGCUGCCAUUCCCAACUCUCAAGAAAUUUGGCUUGCUGCGUUUAAACUUGAGUUUGAGAAUCACGAAUCCGAGAGAGCUAAGAUGCUUCUUGCCAAAGCCCGAGAAAGGGGAGGUAACGAAAAGAGUAUGGAUGAAAUCUGCAAUUGUUGAGAGGGAAUUAGGGAACAUUGAUGAGGAGAGGAAGUUUCUUGUUGAAGGCUUGAAGCGCUUCCCUUCAUUCUUUAAAUUGUGGUUAAUGCUUGGACAGCUAGGGGAACGGCUUGAUCAUUUGGAAAAAGCCAAAAAGGCCUAUCACUCAGGUCUGAAGCACUGCCCCAAUUCUCUACAACUCUGGCUUUCUCUCGCUAAUCUAGAGGAGAAAAUGAUUGGGCUGAGUAAAGCUCGCGCAGUUCUCACAAUUGCCAGGAAGAACCCUCAGAACCCUGAACUGUGGCUUGCUUCUGUUCGAGCUGAAUUGAGGCAUGGCAAGAAGAAAGAAUCUGAUAUUUUGAUGGCAAAGGCUUUGCAGGAGUGUCCCAAUAGUGGUAUCUUGUGGGCAGCAGCCCUCGAGAUGGUAGCUCGUCCCCAACGGAAGGCAAAGAGUAAAGAUGCCCUUGAGAAAUGUCAUCAUGAUCCCCAUGUUGUUGCUGCUGUGGCCAAGUUAUUAUGGCAUGACAGGAAGUUGGACAAAGCUAGGAAUUGGCUCAACAUGGCAGUAAUGCUUGCCCACGAUAUUGGGGAUUUUUGGGCUUUAUACUACAAAUUUGAACUUCAGCAUGGUACUGAGGAGAACCAAAAAGAUGUAUCGAACAGAUGCGUUGCUGCAGGGCCAAAGCAUGGAGAAAAAUGGCAACCUAUUUCAAAGGCCGUGGAGAACUCCCAUCAACCAAUUGAAGCUAUCUUGAAGAAAGUUGUGGCGGCAGCGGAAAAUAAUAAACAGUAGUUCUGCUUAUCAUAGAGGGGAUGGAAAAACAGAAAUGUUACAGUGGAUGCAUAUGCAGUUACGCUUGAUCGAUUUGUUUAGCAGAAUUCGCAAACGACUUGGCAAUAGUUGCGAACAUGGAAGUCACCAUGCUGUCAUAGGGAAGUUGGAUUAAUCUGCCUUGGGAUACAUGAUUUUAGUUGGAUCAAUUAGUUUCUUUCUUUCUUAUCCUAAAUUUUCCUAUUAAUUUAUUACCUCCAGGCAAUGGGGCAGUCAGAGUUAUGAUCAACGUAUCGGUUUAUCUGCUCUUGUAGGAGAUGUGGCCUAACUUAUGUAUAUGGACUAUGCUUAGGAGGACUUAAUGUCCAAAACUCAGUAGUGCUGAGUAUUCUGACGGAGUGUCUUGAGCAAGUACUAUAACCUUCAGCUGCAACCCUCAAGGUAAUAUCAGCAGCCGAUUUCAACUCUUUCACUUUUGAGGUCAGAUAUAAACUUCAAUGGAGACAAGGCAACCGAAAGGUUGACUUAUUACAUUGGUGAUGCUAGAGUUGAUUUACUCCGGGAAAACUCUCGUUUGAUAUCUGGGACAUCAACUCCGGGUUAUGAAUAGCCAUAUUUGGGUGUUGGGUUUGGGUGUCGUGAAAUUAUUUUUUCCUUCAGUUUGUUCUAAUUU